GCUAUUAUGGCUCAGGUGGUAGAGCACUUCCUUGGUAAGGAAGAGGUCGUGGGUCCGAUUCCCACUAAUAGCACCA
rnacentral:tRNA from 1 species